CUACGUGCCAGCAGCCGCGGUAAUACGUAGGGUGCAAGCGUUAUCCGGAAUUAUUGGGCGUAAAGGGCUCGUAGGCGGUUCGUCGCGUCCGGUGUGAAAGUCCAUCGCUUAACGGUGGAUCCGCGCCGGGUACGGGCGGGCUUGAGUGCGGUAGGGGAGACUGGAAUUCCCGGUGUAACGGUGGAAUGUGUAGAUAUCGGGAAGAACACCAAUGGCGAAGGCAGGUCUCUGGGCCGUCACUGACGCUGAGGAGCGAAAGCGUGGGGAGCGAACAGGAUUAGAUACCCUGGUAGUCCACGCCGUAAACGGUGGAUGCUGGAUGUGGGGACCAUUCCACGGUCUCCGUGUCGGAGCCAACGCGUUAAGCAUCCCGCCUGGGGAGUACGGCCGCAAGGCUAAAACUCAAAGAAAUUGACGGGGGCCCGCACAAGCGGCGGAGCAUGCGGAUUAAUUCGAUGCAACGCGAAGAACCUUACCUGGGCUUGACAUGUUCCCGACAGCCGUAGAGAUACGGUCUCCCUUCGGGGCGGGUUCACAGGUGGUGCAUGGUCGUCGUCAGCUCGUGUCGUGAGAUGUUGGGUUAAGUCCCGCAACGAGCGCAACCCCCGCCCCGUGUUGCCAGCACGUUAUGGUGGGAACUCACGGGGGACCGCCGGGGUCAACUCGGAGGAAGGUGGGGAUGACGUCAGAUCAUCAUGCCCCUUACGUCCAGGGCUUCACGCAUGCUACAAUGGCCGGUACAACGGGAUGCGACACCGCGAGGUGGAGCGGAUCCCUUAAAACCGGUCUCAGUUCGGAUUGGAGUCUGCAACCCGACUCCA
rnacentral:rRNA from 1 species